AAACUACUCCCUCUGUCCCAAAUUACUUGUCACACGAAUGGAUGUACCUAGACGUAUUUUAGUUCUAGAUACACCCGUUUCUAUCCAUUUUUGAGACAAGUAAUUCCGGACGGAGGGAGUAUAAU
rfam:Triticum aestivum genome assembly, contig: Triticum_aestivum_CS42_TGACv1_scaffold_526661_6DL